rnacentral:rRNA from 1 species
GAUGAACGCUGGCGGCGUGCCUAAUACAUGCAAGUCGAGCGAACAGACGAGGAGCUUGCUCCUCUGACGUUAGCGGCGGACGGGUGAGUAACACGUGGAUAACCUACCUAUAAGACUGGGAUAACUUCGGGAAACCGGAGCUAAUACCGGAUAAUAUAUUGAACCGCAUGGUUCAAUAGUGAAAGACGGUUUUGCUGUCACUUAUAGAUGGAUCCGCGCCGCAUUAGCUAGUUGGUAAGGUAACGGCUUACCAAGGCAACGAUGCGUAGCCGACCUGAGAGGGUGAUCGGCCACACUGGAACUGAGACACGGUACAGACUCCUACGGGAGGCAGCAGUAGGGAAUCUUCCGAGAUGGGCGAAAGCCUGACGGAGCAACGCCGCGUGAAUGAUGAAGGUCUUCGGAUCGUAAAACUCUGUUAUUAGGGAAGAACAAAUGUGUAAGUAACUAUGCACGUCUUGACGGUACCUAAUCAGAAAGCCACGGCUAACUACGUG